rnacentral:rRNA from 2 species
GGAAGUAAAAGUCGUAACAAGGUUUCUGUAGGUGAACCUGCUGAAGGAUCAUUA